CAGCAGCCACGGUAAUACAGAGGGUGCAAGCGUUAAUCGGAAUUACUGGGCGUAAAGCGCGCGUAGGUGGUUUGUUAAGUUGGAUGUGAAAGCCCCGGGCUCAACCUGGGAACUGCAUCCGAAACUGGCAAGCUAGAGUAUGGUAGAGGGUAGUGGAAUUUCCUGUGUAGCGGUGAAAUGCGUAGAUAUAGGAAGGAACACCAGUGGCGAAGGCGACUACCUGGACUGAUACUGACACUGAGGUGCGAAAGCGUGGGGAGCAAACAGGAUUAGAUACCCCCGUAGUCCCUGUCUCUUAUAC
rnacentral:rRNA from 1 species